CAAAAAAAGAAAAAAAUUCGAUUCAAAGAAAAAAAACAUGUGGAGCAGUUGGGUUGGUUCGGCCCAAUACAACAAGUUAACCCAAUUUGGGUCAAGCAAAGAAAUAGAGAAACUAGGUUCGGUUCAAGUAAAGAAAGAGGAAGACAUGUGAAAAUUUUGAGUUGGUUCGGAGGAGCCCAUACUCAAAAAACGAUUGGUUCGAUUCAAGCAAAGAAAUAGAAAAAAAUUAAGUUUGAUUCAAACAAAGAAAGAGAAAAACAUCAGUUCCGAGUGUAGCCCAUACUCAAUAAUGAAGAAAAUAUUACUGUAUGGUAAAUUAGGAAAAUUAAUAUAUAGGUAUAGCUAGAGGUAUAUAUACACUACAACAGAAUUAGGUUAUAGGGACACAUGUUUUGGACACUUUUGAGUAAGUGUCCCAUUUAUCCUAAAACUUAAAAAAACAUCUACUAAUGCCUAAAUAUAAAGCCCAAUCUAUCCAAAAAUAACAGAUUACUCUACUCAACUCACCACACCCAGUCCAUUUGGCCCGAUUAUAAACAGAAAAGAAAAAAAAAAAGAAAAAUCAAUUACCAUCUUUUCUUCUCUCUUCACUCAAUCCACUGAAAUUCUAGACAAAGAGCCUUUCCUGUCGUCCUCCUCCGCCACCGGAGCCAACAGGAUAGAGUUUCGACGGUUGCUAAAUGCUUAAAUAUGUGUUGGUAAAUUAGCAGCACUCUUUUAGAUUAUAGCGACACUCUUUAACUGUCACUAUAUACCUAGCGACCCCACAUAUAGCAACAUUUUUUAAAAGUGUCGGUAAUUUUAGCUAGCAGCACUUUUUUGACAUAUACCUAUAUUUAAAAGUGUCGCUAUAGACCGUUUUUGUUAUAGUGAUAGACAGAUAGAUAUACACACGUAAAAAUUUUGGUUAUUAUGUGAUUGUUAAGAGAGGGAAAGUACAAAAGUUGGAGGGUGUGGAUGCAAAAAGGGCGGGGG
rnacentral:lncRNA from 1 species